GACGAACGCUGGCGGCGUGCUUAACACAUGCAAGUCGAACGGAAAGGCCCUGCUUUUGUGGGGUGCUCGAGUGGCGAACGGGUGAGUAACACGUGAGUAACCUGCCCUUGACUUUGGGAUAACUUCAGGAAACUGGGGCUAAUACCGGAUAGGAGCUCCUGCUGCAUGGUGGGGGUUGGAAAGUUUCGGCGGUUGGGGAUGGACUCGCGGCUUAUCAGCUUGUUGGUGAGGUAGUGGCUUACCAAGGCUUUGACGGGUAGCCCGCCUGAGAGGGUGACCGGCCACAUUGGGACUGCGAUACGGACCAGACGCCUACGGGAGGCAGCAGUGGGGAAUAUUGCACAAUGGGCGGAAGCCUGAUACAGCGACGCCGCGUGCGGGAUGACGGCCUUCGGGUUGUAAACCGCUUUCGCAUGUGACGAAGCGUGCGUGACGGUAAUGGGUAAAGAAGCACCGGCUAACUACGUG
rnacentral:rRNA from 1 species